rnacentral:rRNA from 1 species
UGGGGAAUUUUGGACAAUGGGCGAAAGCCUGAUCCAGCAAUGCCGCGUGUGUGAAGAAGGCCUUCGGGUUGUAAAGCACUUUUGUCCGGAAAGAAAUCCUUGGCUCUAAUACAGUCGGGGGAUGACGGUACCGGAAGAAUAAGCACCGGCUAACUACGUGCCAGCAGCCGCGGUAAUACGUAGGGUGCAAGCGUUAAUCGGAAUUACUGGGCGUAAAGCGUGCGCAGGCGGUUUGCUAAGACCGAUGUGAAAUCCCCGGGCUCAACCUGGGAACUGCAUUGGUGACUGGCAGGCUAGAGUAUGGCAGAGGGGGGUAGAACUCCACGUGUAGCAGUGAAAUGCGUAGAGAUGUGGAGGAAUACCGAUGGCGAAGGCAGCCCCCUGGGCCAAUACUGACGCUCAUGCACGAAAAGCGUGGGGAGCAAACAGGAUUAGAUACCCUGGUAGUCCACGCCCUAAACGAUGUCAACUAGUUGUUGGGGAAUUCAUUUCCUUAGUAACGUAGCUAACGCGUGAAGUUGACCGCCUGGGGAGUAC